rnacentral:piRNA from 1 species
UGUCAAUGGCCUGUCACAAAGCACAUCGUU